rnacentral:rRNA from 1 species
GAGUUUGAUCGUGGCUCAGGAUGAACGCUAGCGACAGGCUUAACACAUGCAAGUCGAGGGGCAACGGGGGUGAGCAAUCAUCUGCCGGCGACCGGCGCACGGGUGAGUAACACGUAUGCAACCUGCCCGUCACAGGGGGAUAAUCGAGAGAAAUCUCGUCUAAUACCGCAUACACUCUUCGGGAGGCAUCUUCGGGAGAGGAAAGAUUAAUUGGUGACGGAUGGGCAUGCGGGACAUUAGCUAGUUGGCGGGUAACGGCCCACCAAGGCGACGAUGUCUAGGGGUUCUGAGAGGAAGGUCCCCCCACACUGGUACUGAGACACGGACCAGACUCC